rnacentral:rRNA from 1 species
GGGGUAGAAGGAGCUUGCUCCUUUGAGACCGGCGCACGGGUGCGUAACGCGUAUGCAAUCUACCUUGUACAGGGGGAUAGCCCAGAGAAAUUUGGAUUAAUACCCCAUAGUAUCUUCGGAAGGCAUCUUCUGAUUAUUAAAGUUCCAACGGUACAAGAUGAGCAUGCGUCCCAUUAGCUAGUUGGUGUGGUAACGGCACACCAAGGCAACGAUGGGUAGGGGUCCUGAGAGGGAGAUCCCCCACACUGGUACUGAGACACGGACCAGACUCCUACGGGAGGCAGCAGUGAGGAAUAUUGGUCAAUGGACGCAAGUCUGAACCAGCCAUGCCGCGUGCAGGAUGACGGUCCUAUGGAUUGUAAACUGCUUUUGUACAGGAAGAAACACUCCCUCGUGAGGGGGCUUGACGGUACUGUAAGAAUAAGGAUCGGCUAACUCCGUGCCAGCAGCCGCGGUAAUACGGAGGAUCCAAGCGUUAUCCGGAAUCAUUGGGUUUAAAGGGUCCGUAGGCGGUUUUAUAAGUCAGUGGUGAAAUCUGGUCGCUCAACGAUCAAACGGCCAUUGAUACUGUAAGACUUGAAUUACUUGGAAGUAACUAGAAUAUGUAGUGUAGCGGUGAAAUGCUUAGAGAUUACAUGGAAUACCAAUUGCGAAGGCAGGUUACUACGAGUAUAUUGACGCUGAUGGACGAAAGCGUGGGGAGCGAACAGGAUUAGAUACCCUGGUAGUCCACGCCGUAAACGAUGGAUACUAGCUGUUUGGAGUAAUCUGAGUGGCUAAGCGAAAGUGAUAAGU